AACGAACGCUGGCGGCAUGCCUAACACAUGCAAGUCGAACGAGACCUUCGGGUCUAGUGGCGCACGGGUGCGUAACGCGUGGGAACCUGCCCUUAGGUUCGGAAUAACUCCCCGAAAGGGGUGCUAAUACCGGAUAAUGUCUUCGGACCAAAGAUUUAUCGCCUUUGGAUGGGCCCGCGUUGGAUUAGCUAGUUGGUAGGGUAAAAGCCUACCAAGGCGACGAUCCAUAGCUGGUCUGAGAGGAUGAUCAGCCACACUGGGACUGGGACACGGCCCAGAAUCCUACGGAUGGCAGCAGUAGGUAAUAUUGUACCAUGGUCGAAAGCCUGAUCCAGCAAGGCCGCGUGAGUGAUGAAUGCCUUAGGGUUGUAAAGCUCUAUUACCCGGGAUGAUAAUGACAGUACCGGGAGAAUGAGCUCCGGCUAACCCCGUG
rnacentral:rRNA from 1 species